CUCGUAGGCGGUCCGUUGCGUCUGCCGUGAAAACCCGGAGCUCAACUCCGGGCCUGCGGUGGGUACGGGCGGACUAGAGUCCGGUAGGGGAGACUGGAAUUCCUGGUGUAGCGGUGGAAUGCGCAGAUAUCAGGAGGAACACCGGUGGCGAAGGCGGGUCUCUGGGCCGGAACUGACGCUGAGGAGCGAAAGCGUGGGGAGCGUACA
rnacentral:rRNA from 1 species